UGACCUCAAAUCAGGUAGGACUACCCGCUGAACUUAAGCAUAUCAAUAAGCGGAGGAAAAGAAACUAACAAGGAUUCCCCUAGUAACUGCGAGUGAAGCGGGAAAAGCUCAAAUUUAAAAUCUGGCGGUCUUAUGGCUGUCCGAGUUGUAAUCUAGAGAAGUGUUAUCCGCGCUGGACCGUGUACAAGUCUCCUGGAAUGGAGCAUCAUAGAGGGUGAGAAUCCCGUCUUUGACAUGGACUGCCAGGGCUUUGUGAUGCGCUCUCAAAGAGUCGAGUUGUUUGGGAAUGCAGCUCAAAAUGGGUGGUAAAUUCCAUCUAAAGCUAAAUAUUGGCGAGAGACCGAUAGCGAACAAGUACCGUGAGGGAAAGAUGAAAAGAACUUUGGAAAGAGAGUUAAACAGUACGUGAAAUUGCUGAAAGGGAAACGCUUGAAGUCAGUCAUGUCAUCCAGGGAUCAACCUUGCUUUUGCUUGGUGCACUUUCUGGUUUGACGGGUCAGCAUCAAUUUUGACCAUUGGAAAAAGGUUGAGGGAAUGUGGCAUCUUUGGAUGUGUUAUAGCCCUUGGUCGUAUACAAUGGUUGGUAUUGAGGAACUCAGCACGCCGCAAGGCCGGGUUUUAACCACGUACGUGCUUAGGA
rnacentral:rRNA from 1 species